rnacentral:rRNA from 1 species
GAGGGUGCAAGCGUUGUUCGGAAUUAUUGGGCGUAAAGCGCGUGUAGGCGGCUUUGCAAGUCGGGUAGUGAAAGCCCUCAGCUCAACUGAGGAAGUGCGCCCGAAACUGCAGAGCUUGAGUACCGGAGAGGAUGGCGGAAUUCCCCAAGUAGAGGUGAAAUUCGUAGAUAUGGGAGGAACACCGGUGGCGAAGGCGGCCAUCUGGACGGAUACUGACACUGAGACGCGAAAGCGUGGGUAGCAAACAGGAUUAGAUACCCUGGUAGUCCACGCCGUAAACGCUGAGAACUAGGUGUCGUGGGUCGUUGACCCCCGCGGUGCCGUAGCUAACGCAUUAAGUUCUCCGGCCUGGGAAGUACGGCCGCAAAGGCUA